rnacentral:lncRNA from 1 species
GCCAUUUCUUGGGCCGCUCCUUCGGCAUAUGGAGGUUCCCAGGCUAGGGGUCUAAUCGGAGCUGAAGCCGCUGGCCUACACCAGGGCCACAGCAACGCAGGAUCCAAGCUGCGUCUGUGACCUACACCACAGCUCACGGCAAUGCUGGAUCCUUAACCCACUGAGCAAGGCCAGGGAUCAAACCCACAACCUCACGGUUCCUAGUCGGAUUCGUUAACCACUGAGCCAUGACGGGAACUCUGCUGUGGUAGAUUCUUAAUCCACUGCACCACAGUGGGAAAUCUGACUACAUUGGUUCUGGUCACUGUGGAGACAUGGGUUCGAUUCCUGACCCUGCACAGUAGGUUACAAGAUUUGGUGUUGCCACAACUGUGGCACAGUUCACAUCUUACAAUCUUUAAAUUUCACAGUUAUGACCUUCAGAUCAUGUAUGAGGUAAGACUGAGAGAUAAGGAUAUCAGAAUUCAUUCCCAAAGGAGUGAAAGAGCUGAAAAUCAAAUGGAAUGAGAAUCCCAGGAAGCAGUCCAUAAUAAUAAGGGAAAAGAGAUUUAUUUCCGUCAUUUUUGACUAAGGGAUUUUUUUGGAAAAACGUUUUUGGAUUGUGGGUGCUAAAUAAAAUGUUUAAAUUGAAGUUUGUGUGGUUUUUAUUUAUACCCUGCAUGGUUUCAAAGAGAAUUUAAUUUAGCAUAUGGGCUUAGAGAAAAUAUAACAAAAUACUAUGAAUUACAUGUAGAAAAAAUAUAGAGAUAAAAUAGCAACAAGUAUGGAGCUGAUUUUUAAACAUGAAUUUGUAUAGUGAUCAGGCCUUUAUUCACUCAGGGCAAUUUUUUUUUUUUAAUUUUGGAGCACUAAAGAAUUUAAUGUGUUAAGUAUAAUUUUUCAUAACUUACACAAUGUCUUCAUAUACAUUAUCUCAUUUGAUCCUAAACUGACUUUGUGAGGCAGUUAUUCCCUACAUUUUCAGACAAGGGAACCGAGGCUCAUGGAGGGACUUGAAAAUCCAGUCCUUGCUCUUUUCAAAACUGCUGAUCAUUACAAUUCCUGUGCACUAAGUAAUGCCUUUCAGUUCUGUGUAAGAACAAUAUACACUUGACUCCUGUGGCCCUGAUCUGCUUUACAGGUGCUUUCAAUCUGGAGGUGGAAAGGCUUAAAAUUAAAGGACUUUAGAUCUGGGACAGACCCUUCUGGUAACACUUAACUCCUUGGCUUUACAUGAGUGCAUCUCAGCUCUAAGAGGCCAAACAUUUGUCACAAUGAUCCAAUCAGUUUGUGGUAAGACCAAGGUCAAAAGCAGAUUUCCUAAAUUCUUUUCUUGGCACCGCAUGGCCUCUGUAGCUCCAUACAUAUCCAUUUCUAUGAUUUUUUUUAACAUGUGCAAUUCUGACCUUUCUCUUCACAGUUUCUCAUGUGUUCCCUGGGUAAAGUUCUGCGCGCAUACUGACACAGCUACAGGGCCUCGCAUGACCUGGCAUCAGGGACGACCCCCACUGCUCACCUCUGCUAACAAUAUAGAAAUAGAUCUGAUUGUAAGGAUGCUAGGCUUUCACAUAACAUCCUCAUAGAGAUGCCUUGCUCAGGCUAUGGGUAGAGGACAUACCUCUGAGAAUAAUAUGGAACUGAGUUUCUUCUGGAAGGUGGGGACUUUCUGGACAUCUAUCACUAGGAAAGACGUGAGGGAAAGCACUCGGAGAGGAGGGACAAAAUGGCCUUUGGAACAUUGGAGGUCUUGAGCAGGAACCUCUUCUCUCCCAAACUAAAGAUGAGUGAGCCAGAUGAUACAAUUCCAGGUAAUUUCUCAUGUCAAGCUUUCGUCUGCUAUCUGAAAAUCCCCUCCAAACACUUAAAAAAAUAAAAACACAAAAGCCUGAGUUGACAUUUGGAAACGCCAUUCAAAUUAUGCAGCAACCAACCACUGCCAGACCAGCACAGAGGGGUCGGUAGAAUGACAGAUUCCAAAAGGGAAAGGAAAAUAUUGGGCAACAGGAACCUGAGCCACUAAAUCCCAGUCCCUUCUGUCCUAGCACUGACUCUCCUUCCACUGCCAACAGCAGAGGCCAUGGGUUAGCAGACGCACUUCCUUGUGCAAUCUGAAAUUCCCUUAACAGAUCCAGGAACUUUGCACAUGGUUCCUUGUGACUUGACUUCAUUUCUCAUCCCCUACUUUUUGUCCUUUUGACAAACUUACUCAUCCUUCAUAUUUCUGGUUCAGACAUCCUAUUCUCUUGGUAACCUAUCCUGACACUUAAAACUAACUCUGUCCUCCACCUCAUUCCCAAAUCAGUGCUCCUUUUGAACAGGGUCUGCCUUUAGUUCUAGUGCCUAGCAGUGCAGGAAAGAGUACAUACUCAGUGUUAUUGGAAUGAACAAAUAAGUUACUUUGUUUUUUCCCUUUUAAGGCAUUUUUCAACAGAUAAUUCAUAAAUACUGCAAAAAUUUCAAACUGCACUCAAAACAUCAGUGGAAAGUAGAUCUUUCCUCCAAUUCCAUACCCCCCCACCUUCCCGUGGUGCCAGUAGUAUCCUUUCCGAUUAAGUACAUAUGGGUAUUUUAAGUGCAGCUCUUAUUUUUCUACAAAACAGUAAAAAAAUUAUUUAUAUUGCUAUAAAAAAUGUUGCUUAUAAAUGUACAAUAUAUAUUCUGUCACUUAUACAUAUUAGACAACUGUAUAUUGAUAAUACUUAUAACAUAAAUAAUGCAUAAAACAUAAAUAUAUAAGUCCUAUGCCUUGUUCUGAAGUCAGGCUUUUUCUAAAAAAACUAAGACAGCGUAGUAUUCCACCACAGGGGCAUACCAUGGUUCACCGCACAUUCCCCGAUUUACGGUUUCAAAUUUACAAAUACUUCCAUUUUCACUGUCAAAGUCCUGUCCAGCAGCGCAGAAAUACUUUCGCCCUCCAACCCCGCCCCGAGCGGCCGGAUCCUUUCCUAACAUCUUUCACCAGCCCGGGGCAGGCCCUGCGCCUAACGCGACAGCCCGCUUCCCACCACGUGCCCUGCGUCCCCACCGCAGGGCGGAAGAACGCGGCACCGCGCGCGCCGCAGCGACGGAGCCGCACGUCCCCUCCCCUCCCCCAGCGUCUCCCAGCCGCCGCGGUCUCCCGUUCAAAAGUGCCGGAGAACGACAAACGCCCGGCCUCGCCCGGCUCGGGGCGGACGGGGCGGACGGGGCGGUCGGGCGCGGCAAGCGCGGCCC